AUGAUAAAAUGGGUGAUUUUUGCUCUUUUCUUCACAUCACAUGAUUUUGUAUGUGGGGAACAAGACAGUGUUGAUCAGCCGGACAGAGAACUGACUUCUGCUGAAGGAAAUGAAGUGAUUUUAUUGUGUAAUUAUAAACUGAUGAGCGCUGCUAAUGCAUAUCUCUACUGGUACAAACAACUACCAGACACAUCACCAGCAUUCAUUCUGAGUGAGUUUUCCAUCGGGAAAGGAAAAGCAGAGCCUGAAUUUAAGGACAGAUUCUCAGCAAAGUUGGACUCCAAAUUAGAAACAGUUCCUCUGACAAUCAAGGAUGUGCGUGUGUCAGACUCUGCUGUGUAUUACUGUGCUCUGCAGCCCACAGUGACUCAAACACACUUAACACUCACACAAAAACACUGUAAGCAGUAA